rnacentral:rRNA from 1 species
UACGUAGGGUGCAAGCGUUAAUCGGAAUUACUGGGCGUAAAGCGUGCGCAGGCGGUUAUGUAAGACAGUUGUGAAAUCCCCGGGCUUAACCUGGGAACUGCGUUUGAAACUACAAGGCUAGAGUGUGACAGAGGGGGGGUGGAAUUCCACGUGUAGCAGUGAAAUGCGUAGAGAUGUGGAGGAACACCGAUGGCGAAGGCAGCCCCCUGGGUUAACACUGACGCUCAUGCACGAAAGCGUGGGGAGCAAACAGG